GAUGAACGCUGGCGGCGUGCCUAAUACAUGCAAGUCGAGCGAACAGACGAGGAGCUUGCUCCUCUGACGUUAGCGGCGGACGGGUGAGUAACACGUGGAUAACCUACCUAUAAGACUGGGAUAACUUCGGGAAACCGGAGCUAAUACCGGAUAAUAUAUUGAACCGCAUGGUUCAAUAGUGAAAGACGGUUUUGCUGUCACUUAUAGAUGGAUCCGCGCCGCAUUAGCUAGUUGGUAAGGUAACGGCUUACCAAGGCGACGAUGCGUAGCCGACCUGAGAGGGUGAUCGGCCACACUGGAACUGAGACACGGUCCAGACUCCUACGGGAGGCAGCAAUAGGGAAUCUUCCGCAAUGGGCGAAAGCCUGACGGAGCAACGCCGCGUGAGUGAUGAAGGUCUUCGGAUCGUAAAACUCUGUUAUUAGGGAAGAACAAAUGUGUAAGUAACUAUGCACGUCUUGACGGUACCUAAUCAGAAAGCCACGGCUAACUACGUG
rnacentral:rRNA from 1 species